UGAAGCAUAAUUUGGAAGAGGAGGAAAUACUUUGCAGAUAUCUCCAUUGAAGUUGAGAAAAGUGAUGCUGAGGUCCAGGCCGAGGGAGUCUACAACCAAAGGCUUCAGAAUUUGGCUCUUACUCUUGACAAGCUCUUCAAAGCCUACCACUUGUGUACUCAUCACAGUCAACCACAAAGAUCACCUACUCAAUGCAUAUACAACGUUAUUCGACUCACCAAGAGGAGGCUACACUAAUUCUGGUAUAAAUUAG